AUGCACUCUGAGAAACAUCAGCAGAAGUUAAAUGCUCUUCUGCAGCAGUUGUUAAUUUUAGUUCUAAGAGACUCCAAUUCUCUGCAAUGGGGGAGUUCUUUCCAAUCCCUGACGGUGCUGCCCCCCUCCAGUGAGGAGCUGCAGCAGGGGAAGGCCACGCUCACGUGUCUGGCCAACAAGGGCUUCCCCUCAGACUGGAGUCUGUCCUGGAAGGUGGACGGCAGCAGCAGCAGCUGGGAGGAGAGCAGGAGCCCCAGGGUGCUGCAGGAGGACGGCCUCUACAGCUGGAGCAGCACCCUGAGGCUCCCUGCAGACCAGUGGAGGAAGGUGGGCUCUGUGAGCUGUGAGGCCACCCAGGGCUCCCAGACUCCACUCUCAGAGACACUGAGGAGAGACCAGUGUUCCCAGUCCUGACUCACUCACUGGGACUCUCAUACUGGUCUGACUCUGUUACUGCUCUCUGUUUGCUCUCUGUAAUUCUCUCUUUUAUAUCUUUUUUCUUUUAAUUAUUUUUUCAAACUAAACAAAUAUAGCAGUCAUAUCUUCCUCUUCAUAAUGAAACAGUUCAUGUUUU